rnacentral:rRNA from 1 species
AACGAACGCUGGCGGCAUGCCUAACACAUGCAAGUCGAACGAACCCUUCGGGGUUAGUGGCGCACGGGUGCGUAACGCGUGGGAAUCUGCCCUUUGCUGCGGGAUAACAGUGAGAAAUCGCUGCUAAUACCGCAUAAUGACUACGGUCCAAAGAUUUAUCGGCAAAGGAUGAGCCCGCGUAAGAUUAGCUUGUUGGUGGGGUAAAAGCCUACCAAGGCGACGAUCUUUAGCUGGUCUGAGAGGAUGAUCAGCCACACUGGGACUGAGACACGGCCCAG